rnacentral:rRNA from 1 species
UGGGGAAUAUUGGACAAUGGGCGAAAGCCUGAUCCAGCCAUGCCGCGUGUGUGAAGAAGGUCUUCGGAUUGUAAAGCACUUUAAGUUGGGAGGAAGGGCAUUAACCUAAUACGUUAGUGUUUUGACGUUACCGACAGAAUAAGCACCGGCUAACUCUGUGCCAGCAGCCGCGGUAAUACAGAGGGUGCAAGCGUUAAUCGGAAUUACUGGGCGUAAAGCGCGCGUAGGGGGUUUGGUAAGUUGGAUGUGAAAUCCCCGGGCUCAACCUGGGAACUGCAUUCAAAACUGACUGACUAGAGUAUGGUAGAGGGUGGUGGAAUUUCCUGUGUAGCGGUGAAAUGCGUAGAUAUAGGAAGGAACACCAGUGGCGAAGGCGACCACCUGGACUAAUACUGACACUGAGGUGCGAAAGCGUGGGGAGCAAACA